GACGAACGCUGGCGGCGUGCCUAAUACAUGCAAGUAGAACGCUGAAGAGAGGAGCUUGCUCUUCUUGGAUGAGUUGCGAACGGGUGAGUAACGCGUAGGUAACCUGCCUGGUAGCGGGGGAUAACUAUUGGAAACGAUAGCUAAUACCGCAUAAAAUUGAUUAUUGCAUGAUAAUUAAUUGAAAGAUGCAACUGCAUCACUACCAGAUGGACCUGCGUUGUAUUAGCUAGUUGGUGAGGUAACGGCUCACCAAGGCGACGAUACAUAGCCGACCUGAGAGGGUGAUCGGCCACACUGGGACGGGGACACGGCCCAGACUCCUACGGGGGGCAGCAGUAGGGAAUCUUCGGCAAUGGGGGGAACCCUGACCGGGCAACGCCGGGUGAGUGAAGGAGGUUGUCGGAUCGUAAAGCUCUGUUGUAAGAGAAGAACGGGUGGGAGAGUUGAAAGUGCACACUGUGACGGUAUCUUACCAGAAAGGGACGGCUAACUACGUG
rnacentral:rRNA from 1 species